UGCAGUCGACGAUCCGGUUCGCCGGAUAGUGGCAAACGGCUGAGUAACACGUAGGUAACCUGCCCUUAGGUAUGGGAUAACCUCGGGAAACCGGGGCUAAUACCACAUAAACCCCCCAAGCACAAGCGAAGAGGGGAAAGCCUCCGGGCGCCUUUGGAUGGGCCUGCGUCCCAUCAGGUAGUUGGCGAGGGUAAUGGCCCACCAAGCCUAUGACGGGUAGCUGGUCUGAGAGGACGGUCAGCCAGAGGGGGACUGAGACACGGCCCCCACUUCUACGGAAGGCAGCAGCAGGGAAUCUUGCGCAAUGGGCGAAAGCCUGACGCAGCGACACCGCGUGGGGGAUGAAGGCCUUUGGGUCGUAAACCCCUUUUACUAGGAAAGAGAACGGACGGUACCUAGGGAAUAAGCCCCGGCUAACUACGUGCCAGCAGCCGCGGUAAAACGUAGGGGGCAAGCGUUAUCCGGAUUUAUUGGGCGUAAAGGGAGUGUAGGCGGCACUAAAAGUCUUCGGUGAAAUCUCACUGCUCAACAGUGAGCCGUUCGGAGAAACUAUGGAGCUAGAGGGCACCAGAGGGAGGCGGAAUUCCCGAUGUAGCGGUGAAAUGCGUAGAUAUCGGGAGGAACACC
rnacentral:rRNA from 1 species